rnacentral:rRNA from 1 species
AGCGAACGCUGGCGGCAGGCUUAACACAUGCAAGUCGAGCGGGCAUCUUCGGAUGUCAGCGGCAGACGGGUGAGUAACACGUGGGAACGUACCCUUCGGUUCGGAACAACUCUGGGAAACUGGAGCUAAUACCGGAUACGCCCUUAUGGGGGAAGGUUUACUGCCGAGGGAUCGGCCCGCGUCUGAUUAGCUAGGUGGUGGGGUAACGGCCUACCAAGGCGACGAUCAGUAGCUGGUCUGAGAGGAUGAUCAGCCACAAUGGGACUGAGACACGGCCCCGAAUCGGACGGAAGGCAGCAGUGGGGAGUAUUGGACAAUGGGCGCAAGCCUGGUCCAGCCAUGUGGGGUAAGUGAGGAAGGCGUUAGGGUUGCAAAGCUGUUUUGUCCGGGACGAUAGUGACGGUACCGGAAGAAUAAGCACCGGCUAACUUCGUG